GUGGAGCAACACAUAUAUUAAAAUUGGAACGAUACAGUGAAAAUUAGCAGGCCCCCUUCACAAUUUUUUCCUGCUCAUUAAAGUUGUAUUCUGUAUAAUU
rnacentral:snRNA from 1 species